AACGAACGCUGGCGGCAUGCCUAACACAUGCAAGUCGAACGAGAUCUUCGGGUCUAGUGGCGCACGGGUGCGUAACGCGUGGGAAUCUGCCCUUUGGUUCGGAAUAACAGUUGGAAACGACUGCUAAUACCGGAUGAUGACGAAAGUCCAAAGAUUUAUCGCCAGAGGAUGAGCCCGCGUAGGAUUAGCUAGUUGGUGUGGUAAAGGCGCACCAAGGCGACGAUCCUUAGCUGGUGUGAGAGGAUGAUCAGCCACAAUGGGACUUAGACACGGCCCAGACUCCUACGGGAGGCAGCAGUGGGGAAUAUUGGACAAUGGGCGAAAGCCUGGUCCAGCAAUGCCGCGUGAGUUAUGAAGGCCUUAGGGUUGUAAAGCUCUUUUACCCGGGAUGAUAAUGACAGUACCGGGAGAAUAAGCUCCGGCUAACUCCGUGCCAGCAGCCGCAGUAA
rnacentral:rRNA from 1 species